rnacentral:rRNA from 1 species
UACGUAGGGGGCAAGCGUUGUCCGGAUUUAUUGGGCGUAAAGGGCGUGCAGGCGGUCAGGUAAGUGGGAUGUGAAAUGCCCCGGCUCACCCGGGGACCGGCAUCUCAUACUGCUUGGCUUGAGUACGGGAGAGGAUGUGGGAAUUCCUGGUGUAGCGGUGAAAUGCGUAGAUAUCAGGAGGAACACCGGUGGCGAAGGCGGGUCUCUGGGCCGAUACUGACGCUGAGGAGCGAAAGCGUGGGGAGCGAACAGG